GGGCUAGUGGUGUAGUGGUAACACAUUGCAUCCGGACCUGAAAAGGACUGGUUCGAUCCCAUCCUGGUCCA
rnacentral:tRNA from 1 species